GGGUGAGGAUAGCCAUGCGAGUUGAAUGGGAUACCUAAAGUUCCCAUAGCAAACUGCUCAGUAACACAUGAUCAACUUGCCCUAUAGAGAAAAAUAACCUCGGGAAACUGAGGAUAAUGUUUCAUAACUGAAUUGGCUUGGAAAAGUUUUUCAGUGAAAGGGGUAAAAUAAAUGGUUUUUAUCUGCUAUAGGAUAGGAUCGUGUUCGAUUAUGGUUGUUGGUGAGGUAAUGGCUCACCAAGCCGAUAAUCGAUAGGGGCCGUGAGAGCGGGAGCCCCGAGAUGGGUACUGAGACAACGACCCAGGCCUUACGAGGCGCAGCAGGCGCGAAACCUCCGCAAUACACGAAAGUGUGACGGGGUUACCCAAAGUGUUCAAUUUUGAACUGUGGUAGGUGAGUAAUGUUCCCUACUAGAAAGGAGAGGGCAAGGCUGGUGCCGGCCGCCGCGGUAAAACCAGCUCUUCAAGUGGUCGGGAUAAUUAUUGGGCUUAAAGUGUCCGUAGCCGGUUUAGUAAGUUCCUGGUAAAAUCGGGUAGCUUAACUAUCUAUAUGCUAGGAAUACUGCUAUACUAGAGGGCGGGAGAGGUCUGAGGUACUACAGGGGUAGGGGUGAAAUCUUAUAAUCCUUGUAGGACCACCAGUGGCGAAGGCGUCAGACUGGAACGCGCCUGACGGUGAGGGACGAAAGCCAGGGGAGCGAACCGGAUUAGAUACCCGGGUAGUCCUGGCCGUAAACGAUGCAUACUAGGUGAUGGCACGGCCAUGAGCCGUGUCAGUGCCGUAGGGAAACCGUUAAGUGUGCCGCCUGGGAAGUACGGUC
rnacentral:rRNA from 1 species